rnacentral:sRNA from 2 species
AGCGGCAAGAGCUCAAAUUUGAAAUCUGGCUCCUCCGGGGCCCGAGUUGUAAUUUGCAGAGGAUGCUUCGGGGGUGGCCGCCGCCUAAGUCCCCUGGAACGGGGCGUCAUAGAGGGUGAGAAUCCCGUCUUUGGUGGGCCGGUCGCUCCCGGGUGAAGCUCCUUCGACGAGUCGAGUUGUUUGGGAAUGCAGCUCUAAGCGGGUGGUAAAUUUCAUCUAAAGCUAAAUAUUGGCUGGAGACCGAUAGCGCACAAGUAGAGUGAUCGAAAGACGAAAAGCACUUUGAAAAGAGAGUUAAACAGCACGUGAAAUUGUUGAAAGGGAAGCGCUGGCCGCCAGAUUCGGCUCCAGGGGUUCAGCGGGCAUGCUCUGCCCGUGCACUCCCCCGGGGCCGGGUCAGCAUCGGUUCGGGCGGUUGGUCAAAGGCUCCCGGAAUGUGUCGCCUCUCGGGGCGUCUUAUAGCCGGGGGUGCAAUGCAGCCAGCCUGGACCGAGGAAC